CUCCAACGCAGUAAACUGUGGCACCCAGACUUCUGGAGCGGUUUGCCUGUCAGCUUUACUGUUUCCUUCAAGCUGUAUGGCAGAGAAGCAAAGGAUCAUCAGCAAGUUCGGCACAUCUGCUCCCACCUGUCUUCUGUCAGCCUCAUCAAGAUCCGUCCCUCGUUGGAGAACACAAUGAAGGACAUCCGCAACUGUGGGCUGAGGUGAGAAGAGCAGAAAAAUAAUCAAUCUGAGAAGAGAGCAGACAACUUAACGUGAGCAGAAUAUGCUUCAGCCUCUGUUUGAGCAUCUAAGGAGUUGACAAUGAUGGAGGAUAGUAUGCAGUACCUUCAAAAAGGAUUUAACAGACCUUGAUGUAGUUCCUUAUGUUACGUGUUUUUAUUGGGAUUUUACGUUUUUUUUAAUCAUUGCAA